AUGGUCAAGUUUUUUUCUCAAAUGAAAAGCACCAUCACAGGCUGUUCCGGAAGACUUAAUUGGGAAGGGGAGACUCAAUAUGAUCCGAGUAAGAGAAAAUUGAUAGAACAUUAUCAUCCUAGUUUUAAAGAUCUGGUAAGAAGAAAAUAUUUGUUGAAUGGACCUUGUCAGCCAAGAGACAUUGAUUUUGAAUCCUCGGAAUUUGGGGGUAAAUAGAGAAAGUUCAAUCCUAAAUGGUUUGAUGAAUUUGGGAGCUGGUUUGAAUACAACAAAGAGAAGAAGAGGGGAUAUUGUCUUAGAAUGGAUCAUACUAAAGAUAAUUUUCAAGCUUUUAGCCAUUUAAAUACUUUUAUUUCAGCAUUUUAUUAUGUUCUAUUGAAAAGUUUAAUUCUAUUUUUAUCUUGGUAG
rnacentral:rRNA from 1 species